rnacentral:rRNA from 1 species
UACGUAGGGCGCAAGCGUUGUCCGGAAUUAUUGGGCGUAAAGAGCUCGUAGGCGGCUUGUUGCGUCGACUGUGAAAACCUGCGGCUCAACCGUGUGGUCUGCAGUCGAUACGGGCAGGCUGGAGUUCGGUAGGGGAGACUGGAAUUCCUGGUGUAGCGGUGAAAUGCGCAGAUAUCGGGAGGAACACCGGUGGCGAAGGCGGUUCUCUGGGCCUUACCUGACGCUGAGGCGCGAAAGCUAGGGUAGCAAACGGG